UACGGGGGGGGCAAGCGUUGUUCGGAAUUACUGGGCGUAAAGGGCUCGUAGGCGGCCAACUAAGUCGGAUGUGAAAUCCCCAGGCUCAACUUGGGAACUGCAUCCGAUACUGGAUGGCUUGAAUUCGGGAGAGGGAUGCAGAAUUCCAGGUGUAGCGGUGAAAUGCGUAGAUAUUGGGAGGAACACCGGUGGCGAAGGCGGCCCUCUGGACCGGUACUGACGCUGAUGCGCGAAAGCGUGGGUAGCAAACGGG
rnacentral:rRNA from 1 species